UCCGGCUUAACGCCGGCAGUCCCCCCAGAGUGCCCGGCAUAACCCGCUGGUAACUAGGGACGAGGGUUGCGCUCGUUGCGGGACUUAACCCAACAUCUCACGACACGAGCUGACGACAGCCAUGCAGCACCUGUGCAGGCUCCGAAGAGCGCCCGCUUUCACGGGUUUCACCCUGCAUGUCAAGCCCAGGUAAGGUUCUUCGCGUCGCAUCGAAUUAAGCAACAUGCUCCGCCGCUUGUGCGGGGCCCCGUCAAUUCCUUUGAGUUUUAAUCUUGCGACCGUACUCCCCAGGCGGGGCACUUAAUGCGUUAGCUGCGGCACCCAGGGGGUCAAUACCCCGGACACCUAGUGCCCAUCGUUUACAGCGUGGACUAC
rnacentral:misc_RNA from 1 species